CCCAGCUUGAAACUUCAUAUAAACUAAUAACUUUUGAUAAAUGCUAUUCCCAAUUUGUUCAUACUGCUCCAAGUUAUCAUUAAUUCUAAAUUUAAUACUUACUUCAUUUUUAACUGGAAUAAAAUGUACAUCACUCGCUUUCAUUUCUAUCGCUUUAUUAAUUAUUUCUUGAAAUAGAAUCUUCAAAAAAACACCUCCUACAUAUAAUCACGUAGGAGGUGUUUUUAUUACUUCAAUUUAACC
rnacentral:sRNA from 1 species